rnacentral:rRNA from 1 species
AGAGUAACAUGUGCGCCAGUCAUUGGGAUCGUACUAAACCCAGAGGCGCAGUGGGACUCGUCUGGCUUACCGCCUCGGCAAACGGCGAAACGAGGAAGACCGGUCGUUCCUGACCGGUGCGGCCGGCCAGCACCACCGGGCAGUCCCGGCCCCGCAAAUAUGAAAUGUAAAUAGAUCGUCAGAGCUAGGUAUAAGUACCAAAGACCAAUCGAACCAUCUAGUGGCUGGUUCCCUCCGAAUUAUCCCUCACCAUAACUGGAACCGAGUUCAUGCGGGCCAGUCUCUUUCGAUAAAGCGAAUGAGUAGAGCCCACGAGGCCAAAACAACAAGAACAUAUUCUCAAACUUUAGAAGGGAAAAUAUCUCCGGUUUCCUUAAGCGAAGCCGCCAGAAGACGGACGAUGGUGAGCCAGUUUUG